rfam:Clostridium disporicum strain 2789STDY5834856 genome assembly, contig: SCcontig000027
AUUUAAAUACAACUCUUGUUAAGGUUAAUC